GGUUGUGGCUCAGUGGCAGAGUGCUCGCCUAGCAUAUGUGAGGCCCUGGGUUCAAUCCUCAGCACCA
rnacentral:tRNA from 1 species